CCAGGUUAAGGGCAAACCGAUCGAAAGAUCGGGACGCAAAGCUUCCGGCCUACCGGUCAUAUGACCCAGGGUAGCGGGGCCUCCCAG
rfam:Aeromonas diversa 2478-85 Contig 4, whole genome shotgun sequence.